AAAGAAUUAGUUAAUUUAUAGCAUGAAAUAUGUCCAAAUUUAAGUUAUUACUUUAGUGAUAUUCUUUU
rnacentral:tRNA from 1 species